rnacentral:rRNA from 1 species
AUUGAACGCUGGCGGCAGGCCUAACACAUGCAAGUCGAACGAGUGGCGGACGGGUGAGUAAUGUCUGGGAAACUGCCUGAUGGAGGGGGAUAACUACUGGAAACGGUAGCUAAUACCGCAUACCAUCAGAUGUGCCCAGAUGGGAUUAGCUUGUUGGUGGGGUAACGGCUCACCAAGGCGACGAUCCCUAGCUGGUCUGAGAGGAUGACCAGCCACACCUGAACUUGUACACGGGCCAGGAUCCGACGGGAGGGCGGCGGUGGGAAUAUUGCACAAAGGGCGCAAGCCUGGUUCAACCAUGCCGCGGUUAUGGAGAAGGCCUUCGGGGUGGAAAGUACUUUCAGCGGGGAAGCGUUACCCGCAGAAGAAGCACCGGCUAACUCCGUGCCAGCAGCCGCGGUAAUUC